rnacentral:RNase_P_RNA from 1 species
AAAGUUGGUCAGGUAAUCGCGCAGUCAUUUUUGAUUUCGAGGAAAGUCCGGGCUCCACAGGACACAGUGCCAGAUAACGUCUGGGAAGCGUGAGCUUACGGCAAGUGCAACAGAGAGAAGACCGCCUGUCACCUAACUUUUAUUUUUAUGAUAAAAGCUAGGUGAUGGGUAAGGGUGAAAGGGUGUGGUAAGAGCACACCGCAUGACUGGUAACAGUUCAUGGCAAGGUAAACCCCACUGGGAGCAAGACCAAAUAGGAAAACAGACUCAUUUAUGAGUAAGGCGUGGUCCGCGUUGUUUUCGGGUAGGUUGCUUGAGGCAUACAGCGAUGUAUUGUCCAGAUGAAUGAUUACCACAUUUUUAAUUAAAUGACACAGAACCCGGCUUAUCGACCAACUUUUAUU